GACGAACGCUGGCGGCGUGCCUAAUACAUGCAAGUCGAACGCAGUGGGGACGGGUGAGUAACACGUGGGUAACCUCCCAUCAGAGGGGAUAACACUUGGCAACAGGUGCUAAACCGAUACUGAUGGAUGGACCCGCGGUGCAUUAGCUAGUUGGUGAGGUAACGGCUCACCUAGGCCACGAUGCAUAGCCGACCUGAGAGGGUGAGCGGCCACACUGGGACUGAGACACGGCCCAGACGCCUACGGGAGGCAGCAGGAGGGAAUCUUCGGCAAUGGACGAAAGUCUGACCGAGCAACGCCGCGUGAGUGAAGAAGGUUUGCGGAUCGUAAAACUCUGUUGUUAGAGAAGCGGUAUCUAAACAGAAAGCAACGGCUAACUACGUGCCAGCCGCCGCGAGAAUAC
rnacentral:rRNA from 1 species